rnacentral:rRNA from 1 species
CAGCAGCCGCGGGAAUACAGAGGAUGCAAGCGUUAUCCCGAAUGAUUGGGCGUAAAGCGCACGUAGGCGGACUGAUUAGUCAGGGGUGAAAUCCCAAGGCUCAACCUUGGAACUGCCUUUGAUACUGUUUGUCUUGAGUUCGAGAGAGGUAAGUGGAACUGCGAGUGUAGAGGUGAAAUUCGUAGAUAUUCGCAAGAACACCAGUGGCGAAGGCGGCUUACUGGCUCGAAACUGACGCUGAGGCGCGAAAGCGUGGGGAGCAAACAGGAUUAGAUACCCCGGUAGUCCCUGUCUCUUAUAC